rnacentral:tRNA from 1 species
GGAAGGUGAGCGAGAGGUCUCGCAGAUUGGUUGCUAACCAAUUGAUUGUAACAGGUCGGGGUUCGAAUCCUCCGCCUUCCGC